GACGAACGCUGGCGGCGUGCCUAAUACAUGCAAGUUGAGCGAUGAAGAUUGGUGCUUGCACCAAUUUGAAGAGCAGCGAACGGGUGGGUAACGCGUGGGGAAUCUGCCUUUGAGCGGGGGACAACAUUUGGAAACGAAUGCUAAUACCGCAUAAUAACUUUAAACAUAAGUUUUAAGUUUGAAAGAUGCAAUUGCAUCACUCAAAGAUGAUCCCGCGUUGUAUUAGCUAGUUGGUGGGGUAAAGGCUCACCAAGGCGAUGAUACAUAGCCGACCUGAGAGGGUGAUCGGCCACAUUGGGACUGAGACACGGCCCAAACUCCUACGGGAGGCAGCAGUAGGGAAUCUUCGGCAAUGGACGAAAGUCUGACCGAGCAACGCCGCGUGAGUGAAGAAGGUUUUCGGAUCGUAAAACUCUGUUGGUAGAGAAGAACGUUGGUGAGAGUGGAAAGCUCAUCAAGUGACGGUAACUACCCAGAAAGGGACGGCUAACUACGUG
rnacentral:rRNA from 1 species